ensembl:misc_RNA Metazoa_SRP Metazoan signal recognition particle RNA
GCUGGGCAUUGGUGGCGCACGCCUUUAAUCCUAGCACUCAGGAGGCAGAGGCAGGCAGAUCUCUGAGUUCGAGGCCAGCAUGAUCUUCAGAGCGAGUGCCAGGAUAGGCUCCAAAGUUACACAGAGAAACCCUGUCUCGAAAAACCAAAAUAAUAAUAAUAAUAAUACUUUGUCGUUUUGUUUUGUUUUUCGAGACAGGGUUUCUCUGUGGAGCUUUGGAGCCUAUUCUGGCACCCGCUCUGGAGACCAGGCUGGCCUCGAACUCACAGAGAUCCAUCUGCCUCUG